rnacentral:rRNA from 1 species
UAGUAGUUUAUUAAUGGAUAUUUAUUUUGUAAUUUUUGUUUAAUAAAAAUAAUUCUAUGAGGUUUAUUUAAAAGUAAUUUUUAAUGAAAUUAAGUUAUUUAAAGUUGAUAGUAGAUUAGUACUGUGAAGGAAUAAUGAAAUAUAAGUGAAAUAUAUUUUUUCUAAAAAAGUAGAAUUGAUUUUUGUACCUUGUGUAUCAGGGUUUAUUUAAUAUAAUUUAUUGUUAUAAAUAUCCCGAAUCAAGAAUAGCGAGGAUUAUUUAAAAUAAUUAAUGUAGUAAAAUUAUUAUUAAUAGUGUUUUUGUAAUGAAAUGUUAUACGUGUUUUGAUAUAUCUGGUUUUCUAGGAAAUAAGUUUAAUUUAUUUUAUGUUGAGAUAAAAAUUUUGUUAGAUAAUUAUUAUUUUGAUAUAUUAAUAUAUUUUUGGGGAUAAGCUGGGAAAUAAAGUAAUUAUAAAUAAGUGGUAAAUGUGAUUGAUUGUUGUAGGCUUUAAAUUAGCUUUUUAAGGAAUAUUGUUAUAAAUUGAUUAGUUUAAUAAUUUAAUUUAUUUUUUAUAAGAUUUUAAUUUGUUUAUUAGAAUUAAUUAAUUAAUGAUGAGUUAAUUGAAAUAAUGAUAGAAUGAGUAGAUUUAUAAAGGUUUAUAAUGAAAAUUUAAUAAAUUAUAUUAAAGGAAUUCGGCAAAUUUUUUUAUUCGUAUGUUUAUCAAAAACAUUUCUUCUUGAGUUAAAUAGGAAGUAGGGCCUGCCCACUGAGUGUAUUAAAGGGCCGCGGUAGUUUGACCGUGCAAAGGUAGCAAAAUCAUUAGUUUUUUAAUUGAAGGCUUGUAUGAAUGGUUUGACGAAAUAAAAACUGUCUUGUUUAUAAAGGUUGAAUUUAACUUUUUAGUGAAAAGGCUGAAAUAAUAUUAUAGGACGAGAAGACCCUAUAGAGUUUUACUUAAAAUUAAGUAAUUUAUUUUGGUAGUAUAAUUUAUAUUUCUUAUAUUGUUUAAGUUUUGUUGGGGAGACAUAGAGGAAUAAUUAACUCUUUAUAAUAUAAUUACAUUAAUUUAUGGUUAGAUGAUCCAAUAAUAGUGAUUAUAAGAUUAAAUUACCUUAGGGAUAACAGCGUAAUUUCUUUUAAGAGUUCUUAUCGAUAAAGAAGAUUGCGACCUCGAUGUUGGAUUAAGAAUAUUUUUAGGUGAAGAGGUUUAGGAAAUAAGUCUGUUCGACUUUUAAAAUCUUACAUGAUCUGAGUUCAAACCGGCGUGAGCCAGGUUGGUUUCUAUCCUUAAUAAAUUAUGAAAUCUUAGUACGAAAGGACCAGAUUUUUGGAAUAAUUUUAAAUUUUCUUGAAUGUUAAUAAGUUAA